GUGGGGAAUAUUGGACAAUGGGGGGAACCCUGAUCCAGCCAUGCCGCGUGUGUGAAGAAGGCCUUUUGGUUGUAAAGCACUUUAAGCGAGGAGGAGGCUACCGAGAUUAAUACUCUUGGAUAGUGGACGUUACUCGCAGAAUAAGCACCGGCUAACUCUGUGCCAGCAGCCGCGGUAAUACAGAGGGUGCAAGCGUUAAUCGGAUUUACUGGGCGUAAAGCGUGCGUAGGUGGCCCAUUAAGUCAAAUGUGAAAUCCCCGGGCUUAACUUGGAAAUUGCAGUGGAUACUGGUGGGCUAGAGUAUGGGAGAGGAUGGUAGAAUUCCAGGUGUAGCGGUGAAAUGCGUAGAGAUCUGGAGGAAUACCGAUGGCGAAGGCAGCCAUCUGGCCUAAUACUGACACUGAGGUGCGAAAGCAUGGGGAGCAAACAGGAUUAGAUACCCCUGUAGUCC
rnacentral:rRNA from 1 species